UACGGAGGAUGCAAGCGUUAUCCGGAUUUAUUGGGCGUAAAGCGUCCGCAGGUGGUUUUUCAAGUCUGCUGUUAAAGCGCGAGGCUUAACUUCGUACAGGCAGUGGAAACUGGAAGACUUGAGUAUGGUAGGGGUAGCGGGAAUUCCCAGUGUAGCGGUGAAAUGCGUAGAUAUUGGGAAGAACACCAGCGGCGAAAGCGCGCUACUGGGCCAUUACUGACACUCAUGGACGAAAGCUAGGGGAGCGAAUGGG
rnacentral:rRNA from 1 species